GGCUCUAGGGGUAAGGGCAUUGCCUGACGACUUUUCUGGAUGGACACUCCCUCCUAAUGGUGAAUGGAAACUCCCUUUCUCAGUAGCCUCCUUGUAGUUCAUCCCGGUAGCCCAGUGUGAUUGCAGCCGCUGCCACCACCCAGACAGGAAGCCUCCCAGAGCA
rfam:Mus musculus chromosome 18, GRC primary reference assembly.